rnacentral:misc_RNA from 1 species
GUGCAGGGGCGUUGUCUCGAUGCAAAAGAAAGUGGGUUUUUUUUCGGGCCACUUCUUCCGUAUUGCAUUGACAAGAUCACGUCAAAUUACUGUUAUAGAAUCAAAUGUCAUAAGCAUUUUCAUUUUACAAUAUUGAGAAGUUGCCGGAUAUAUAUUUUUGAGAAAAUUUAAAUUCUAAUCCGCAGUUAUUUUCUUCAUGUACAGAUAUGGCAUGUGGAUAAUGACAGGUCAUCAUCGCAGCAGAGAGUUUUCAUUGAUGGAAGCUGGACAUACAUGAUUUAGCCAAGACUGGCAUUUUGGACUCUGGAAGGUGAAGUGGAGACAUUCUACAGCAGAAACUCUUGAUGAGGUAACAGAACCAGUGAAGCGCUUCUCAAGAAAUGGCCGCAACAUACCCCAGCUCAUCAACGAUACCGAGAGAAUGUCUGAUGAAAGUCCAGGAGUUGUCUUUGUCAAGACAUAUAGUAGCUCUGCAGAGAAACCCAUCAACAUUUUAAAGAGAGGACAGCAACUACUUAAUGGUGACACUCUGCCAUCCGUGAUUACAUCCAAGGGCCUUGAUGUUGCCAGACAGUGGUAUCUUUAUGAUGAAAUCGGACUUUUCUGCAUAAGUACUUCGGACAAUCUACAGUCUUGUCCUAAGCCUGUAUCCAAAACCCAGAGAAAAGAAAAUGUCCAAAGCAGUUUGACUAUCCAAAGAUGUGAAACUUUUGGUUUAUUGUGUACUUAAAUGAACUGUGUCAUGAUAUGCACAUUUAUAUAAUUAUACAUGUAUUAUAUAAAUUUCCGUAUUUGGAAGUAUUUGUACUAGCAUGCAUGUUUUAGGUAAAAAGGUGUUUUUUUAACGAGUGUUUGUUAAUUACUAGUGUUAGCUUUAUUAAAUAGGAAUUGUGUUAUUUUUCAAAAUGUUAAAAAAAAUUGUUUUAAAACGAUUAUAUUACAUUUAAAAAAGUAAUGUACAUGUACAGCUUUCCAAAUCAUGAGCUUUUUGCAGUAGAAUUUGAUUUAAAUUGAUGCAAUUGUACUAAGUUUUGAUCACAGAACACUAUAAAUAAAUAAAUAAAUCCU